GACGAACGCUGGCGGCGUGCUUAACACAUGCAAGUCGAACGGAGUGGCGAACGGGUGAGUAACGCGUAAUCAACCUGCCCUUCAGAGGGGGACAACAGUUAGAAACGACUGAUAAUACAUCACACUGAAGGAUGGGAUUGCGGUUGAUUAGCUAGUUGGAGGGGUAACGUCCCAACAAGGCGAUGAUCAGUAGCCGGUCUGAGAGGAUGAACGGCCACAGUGGGACUGAGACACGGCCCAGACUCCUACGGGAGGCAGCAGUGGGGAAUCUUCCGAAAUGGACGAAAGUCUGACGGAGCAACGCCGCGUGAGUGAUGAAGGCCUUCGGGUUGUAAAGCUCUGUUAAUCGGGACGCGGUACCGGAAUAGAAAGCCACGGCUAACUACGUGCCAGCAGCCGCGGUAAUAC
rnacentral:rRNA from 1 species